rnacentral:pre_miRNA from 1 species
UUAACUCAAAUUUGUAUGCAGUUGAAACAACGCCCCUAGCGGCAAACGUUCCAACUCCAUACAAGUUUGAGUUA